GAAAUGCGAUAAGUAAUGUGAAUUGCAGAAUUCAGUGAAUCAUCGAAUCUUUGAACGCACAUUGCGCCCUCCAGUAUUCUGGCGGGCAUGCCUGUUCGAGCGUCAUUACAACCCUCAGGCCCCCGGGCCUGGCGUUGGGGAUCGGCGGAAGCCCCCUGCGGGCACAACGCCGUCCCCCAAAUACAGUGGCGGUCCCGCCGCAGCUUCCAUUGCGUAGUAGCUAACACCUCGCAACUGGAGAGCGGCGCGGCCACGCCGUAAAACACCCAACUUCUGAAUGUUGACCUCGAAUCAGGUAGGAAUACCCGCUGAACUUAAGC
rnacentral:misc_RNA from 1 species